CAGUGACCUCCCUGCAACUCAUAAAGACUUUUCCCUGAAGACCAACCCUAAGUGAGCUUCUGUAAACCUGUUGACAAGACACCUAAAACUACAGAAGCCCUGGACUAUUUUUCUUCAGCAUAUGGAAUUAUGAAAUAGAAGAAGAAGCACAAAAAUGACAGCAUUGUAGUGUGCUUGUUUUAGAAGACACCACUAUGGGGUAUCUUGCACCUCAGAUCUUCAGGUUGCAUAGUUCCUCUAGUGAGUCACAGCACUGUUUACUGAGUGAAUGUUAUGAUCCUGCUGCAGCUUCUGCUCUUCUUCCUCCUUUUCUCUCUUUUUCCUUCUUUCUCCCAUUGUUCCUCAUCUGUUUCUGUCUCUCUCUGGCUCCCUCUGUCUGUCUCUCUGCCUCCUGUCUCUCUCUCCCUGCUUCACCUGCCUGCACUCUGUCUUGCUGAUUACUGCAAUGAGUUUCAGCUGCAGUAAUUAGUUCACACCAUUCACCUGUUCUCCACCUAUUUAAGCUCUGUCCUUCCAUUCACUCCCUGCUGGAUCAUAGAUUCACAUCCCUUUAUGGAUUCAGUUUCUCCCCACCAAGCCUUCUACCUCCUGUCAGCUUCAGCCCCUUGGACUCAACAGAUUCCCCCAUCCUGGAUUUCCCUCUCGUGGGCUCUGUGUAACUCCUGUCUGUUCUUAGAUACUCCCCAGUCUUCAGUCUUCAGUUUUGGUCCCCCCUAGCUUCUGGAUUCCCUGAGCCUGCCUAGCCCUUAGUUCUGUUUUCCCCUGGUUUCUGUUCCUGUUAAUUGUCACCAGCAUGUGGGACUUUCAUGAAGAAUUCCAGGACGAGUUGUCCUCUGAGGCACUCCUAUCCUCUGGCUUCACCAUGCUGGUGGGAUUUUCAUCAGAGCCAUUAAUGUUGGCAUCAGCAGCUUCAAGCACUUCAGAAAGUCCAGCUGCCAAGAGUUCUGUUUCUGUAACCCUGCUGGGUUAUUUUAGUCACAGCGGUGUUUAAGGAAGUUCAUCAGUGUGAUCAGCCACGACUAAAAGAUGAACCACGAGGCUCCAGAGCAGAGAGAUGGAAACCUGCUGAGCAUCAGGAGACUCUUCAGAUACUUCAGGUACUUAUGAAGGAGGUGAUGCACGACGGUUACUACAGAAGAGCAAAUGAAGUUUACAGUGGCUCAUACUUCCAAAAUCUACCUAAUCUAAAUUCAGCUCACUCAUUUCAAUUCGAAGAGUUUAUGUUUUAAUAUCGCGGUUUCCACUUUUUGGGUUUCAAAAGUGUUUUCCCAAGUUUGAAUGAUUAAACACUUGCUUCUGCUGCCUAUAACGGGUAGUUUAGUAAAGGACCACUGGCCAUUGAUUUUUACAUUGAUAGAACUCAGCUCAAGAUGCAAACUCAUUGCUACCAAAUCUUUGUUUUUUUUUGUCCCAUUUUCUUCCUGUCUGUCUAUUCUCCUCUGACCUCUCACAACAACAAGGCAUUUUGUUGCACACAACUCACUGAAUAUUUUCUCUUUUUGGGACCAUUCUCUGUAAACCCUAGAGAUGAUUGUGGUGAAAAUCCCAGUAGAUAAGCAGUUUCUGAAACGCUCCGACUACCGUGCCACAUUCAAAGUCACUUAAAUCAUAAGUACGACCAGAAAACGGUGCAAAAAUCACCACAGAUGCAAAAAAAAAAAUCAUAACAUGUGAAAAUGCUAUAAAAACUUGUAAAAUUGACAAAGAAUACACUAAAUACCAAAUAAAGAUGCAAAAAAAUCACCACAAACAUAUGGAAUUUCCAUAAAAAACACAGAAAACAACCAAAAAAUGGUGCAAAAUCACUAUAAAUAGAAACAAAAUCUUAAAAAUAUGUGAAAUAACCACAAAAAAGUGCAAAAUCUUCAGAAAAAUACACAAUAUUGUCAAUUAAGAUGCAAAAAAAUCACCACAAUCAUGUGGAAUUACCAAAAAAAACUUAAAAAUGACCAAAAAGUGGUGCAAAUUUCCAGAGUUACAGCAGCAAAAAUCUUUCAGAGCAGCACUAACCAUGUGUACAGUAAAGAUAAUAAUUAUAAUAACAAUAAUAUAUACAAUAUAUACAAGAAUGAAGGAUGAGGGUAGGUCUCCCUUUUUCAGGUUAGAGCAGCAUGUCUAACUGCAUCACAAAUAUAAAGCUCUGAACAAAAAUCCCCUUAAACAAUGAGUAGUUCUCACUAAAUGCUGGACUUCCUGCCAGUUAAGUCUUGUUUUGUUAUCAUGGUUGGAUUGUUACUUUGAAGUAAGUGAAUUCAGGGAUUUUCCUUCCUCAGAAGGGCCCUUUGAGGGGUGACUAACAACAACAAUCAGAUCAGUAACUCUGUGAAGGCCAUGAGUCUGUGUUGCCUUUUUUUGGUUGUUAUUUCUAACCAUUUGACAAACAAACACAUUCUCUCUCAGUCUUUAAGAAAAGACUGAAAACCAGCUUUGCACUUGACAGACUUAUGGCUGGUUUUAGGCUCUUGUCCAGGUUGUUUUCUCCUGACUAGAUCCUUGCUUGUGUUGUAUCUUCUCUCAGAUGUGUGUGGCUUUGGAUAAACGCCUCUGCUAAAUGAAAUUGUAGAAAUUGAAAUUGUUCGCUGCUCGAGUAUCAUUAUGUACUAGCACCUCGUUGAUUUCUAUGUUGUCUGCAUGUCGUCUACAAACCAAGAAUGUCAAAACAAGUUGUUGAUUAGUUAAGGUUGCUCUAAAAUGAGUUAAAGUUGACCUACAUUACCGUUCAGCAGUUUGGGGUCAUCCAGACAAUUCCAUGUUUUCCAUGAAAACUCCCACUUUUAUUCAUGUGCUAACACAACUGCAGAAGGGUUUUCUAAUCAUCAAUGAGCCUUUCAACACCAUUAACUAACACAAUGUAGCAUUAGAACACAGGAGUGAUGGUUGCUGGAA